AGUAAGUCAGUGGUGAAAGCCUGCAGCUCAACUGUGGACUGCCAAUUGAUACUGCUUUUUCGUGAGUUUGGUUGAGGUAGCCGGAAUGUGUAAUGUAGCGGUGAAAUGCUUAGAUAUUACACAGAACACCGAUUGCGAAGGCAGCUUACUAAACCGAUACUGACGCUGAUGCACGAAAGCGUGGGGAGCGAACAGGAUUAGAUACCCUGGUAGUCCACGCUGUAAACUAUGAUCACUCGCUGUUGGCAAUACAUCGUCAGCGGCUGAGCGAAAGCAUUAAGUGAUCCACCUGGGGAGUACGGUCGCAAGAUUGAAACUCAAAGGAAUUGACGGGGGCCCGCACAAGCGGUGGAACAUGUGGUUUAAUUCGAUGAUACGCGAGGAACCUUACCUGGGCUUAAAUGUAGACUGCAUUUCCGGGAAACCGGAAUUUCCUUCGGGACCGUCUACAAGGUGCUGCAUGGUUGUCGUCAGCUCGUGCCGUGAGGUGUCGGGUUAAGUCCCAUAACGAGCGCAACCCCUAUCGUUAGUUGCCAGCGAGUAAUGUCGGGGACUCUAGCGAAACUGCCGGUGUAAACCGAGAGGAAGGUGGGGAUGACGUCAAAUCAGCACGGCCCUUAUGUCCAGGGCUACACACGUGUUACAAUGGUCAGUACAAAGGGCAGCUACCUGGUGACAGGAUGCUAAUCUCGAAAACUGGUCUCAGUUCGGAUUGGAGUCUGCAAUCCGACUCCAUGAAGCUGGAAUCGCUAGUAAUCGCGCAUCAGCAACGGCGCGGUGAUACGUUCCCGGGCCUUGUACACACCGCCCGUCAAGCCAUGGAAGCUGGGGGUGCCUGAAGUCCGUAACCGAAAGGAUCGGCCUAGGGUAAACCGGUGACUGGGGCUAA
rnacentral:rRNA from 1 species